UGUUUUUCAACCGGAUGGAGUCGAGGAAGAGGGGUGCCGCUCUGAUGGAGCUAUUCCCCCGCUGCCCCGCAGCCGUAAAGGGAACGAAAGCCCGUCGCGCCAGGCGCGAAACAACCACUGGAAGAAAUUCCGGGAAGGUGGGCAAGUAGGUGGCCCUGAGCCGGAAGACCGCUCCAUUCGUAACUUCGAG
rnacentral:ncRNA from 2 species